UCAGCUGGCUCCCAGCUGACUCAGAAUCCACAAGAAUAAAUGAUUAUUAUUUUAAGCCACCGAAUUUUGAGGUUGGUUAUGCAGUAUUUUUGUGACAUUAGCUAACUGAUAGACCAUGCCAUAGAAACGCCUGCUAUCAAGAUAAAUAGAUGACUGACGACUGGGAGUCAUGAAAAGGGCUUUAGCGAUGGCCUCUGGGAGGUCAGGAAAGGCACCAGGAUGAGCAAAGGUGUGGAGGGAGGGUGACCGCUAAGCACAGGGUUUGUAGGGAGAAGAAAGAUAAGUCAGAUUUUAGUGUGAGAUGAGGGGUCAGAGCCUCAGAAGCACUUCCUCGGAGGAGCACCCAGAGUUUGAUUUGUGUCCCCAACUGGACUCCCGAUGCUGGUGGGGCCUCCAUCCGACAGUGCACAGUCCAUUGCCCAACUUUUCCCCUCUUAUUCAGAACGCUGGAUUCAAAAAUAGUUUCCCCUGAUAGCUUAAAGGAUGGACCUGACGUGUACCAAUGUUAAGUUAUAAUCACGAUUCUUCAGGCUGUUUCUUUAGAAGACCUCAAGUAGUUGCAAGCUCCAGCUGUCUCUGCUGAAAAAGAGAAAGUCAAUUCUCCCUGUUGCAAAAACUUUUGGAGCAGCAGGAAACCAACCUGUCAACUGAAAUUGAUUUAUUCACUCGACUGGAAUGACCCGACCCACUUGACACAUCUGAGAGGGGGCAGUUUACUUUCAUUCAACCCACAGAUUCGGGCUGAUCAUCAUGCAAUAACGAAACAUUUGCCUGAGCAAGUCAGGGUAGAAAUGACCAUGCCCACUUAAUGGAGAAAAUGAAGCACAAAUUUCACAGUCACCCAAGAGAGAUACUCACUUCUAGCCUAGUAAUAUGCUCACCAGAUCAUCCCGAUGGUUUCCUUAGGUGUAGGAUGAAUUCCAGGCUUCCUUUGCAUCUCUAUGUGUCUUUUUCCCUUAAUCAGAAAGCCAAAUGCUAGAGCUUCUUUACCACCACAGGAAAGAGAAAUCUAGGUUUGCAAUUUUUCCUCCCACUUAUUCCUAAAUAUCUGGUAGCCUCUCUUUUCUUCACAACAGUCCCUUUCAACCUCUCUUGCUCUUGUUUAGAAUAAUUCUUUGUAAGUUCUGUCUGCGUCUACAGCUUGCAGGCUGAGGAAGAGCUCAGAGCCCUGACAAGCUAAGUUUGAUUCUAUGACAAGCUGGCUGCAGGCAUUUGGUCCAUGAGGAAAUGACAUGUGCAACCAUGUUAGCUUCCAAAACUUCCACCUGGCCUUGAUCACCCAGGGUCUCCAGACACUCGUGUGUGUUGAUCUUGGGAUGCAAAACAGCUGCUGGCCUCUGAGGCGUCUCGGUAACUAUGGAGACAGGAACAUAAACAUCAAUGAGGAUGUCAGGAAGCAGGCAGCCGGUGUUAGGAGUGAAAGCAUCGGCGAGGCUGAUCUGGCAUUGGCGGCAUGUGCUGCAAAUGAUGAAAACAGGAUUCCAAGGCCUCUCUGCUAUCAGGCGGGAUGGCUGUAGCUUUAAAGUGGGGCACCUCUGCUCUCCCUCCUUUUCAUUCAGUUGCUUAGAUAUUCAUUUGUUUAUUGCACAAAUAUGUCCUGAGGGGCUGCUACGUGCAAGACACAGUGUAGGCAGUGGAGAUAGAGGCGAAGAAGGCAGAGUCCCUGUCCUCACAGAGCUUCCCAGGAUAGGAGACUUUCAAGCUAAAACUGGGACAGUCCUGGGGACACUUGGACAAGUUGGUCACCCUACUGAGGGGACAGACCAUUAAGUAUGCAUAUAAAUACGAGAGGCAGAAGGAGUUUUGACAUAGACCCACACAGAUGUGACGUGAUGAAGCGAUAUGAUCUCUGUGAAGUGACGUGAAGACAGAGGCAGAGACCGGAGUGAUGCAGCCACAAGCCAAGGAACACCUGCCACCACCAGACAGGCAAGGAGACUCCACAGUGCCUCCGUAGGAAGUGCGGCCCUGCUGAUAGCUUGAGUUCAGACUCCUGGGCUCCAGAACUGGGAGAGAAUAAA
rnacentral:lncRNA from 1 species